AGGGUUCUGUGGACUUGCUCUGCGUUUGCCAGAGGAUUAGGAAACGUGUCAAUGUGAGGGGUGGCAGCAGCCCUGGAGCUGCCGUGUGGGGACCCACAGUUGGUAUUUUUCCCUCUCCACCCUGGUCUUCUCCUGUAACGUGUGGCCGCCUUUUCCAGCACGGCCUCCUGCCUUCCUGGUGCACUUUUUGGAGAACGUGGUGGAAUCAGAGGUUUCUGGCUGACUCGGUGG
rnacentral:lncRNA from 1 species